rnacentral:rRNA from 1 species
UACGUAGGGGGCAAGCGUUGUCCGGAAUUAUUGGGCGUAAAGCGCGCGCAGGCGGUUAUUUAAGUCUGGUGUUUAAUCCUGGGGCUCAACUCCGGGUCGCACUGGAAACUGGGUAACUUGAGUACAGAAGAGGAAAGUGGAAUUCCACGUGUAGCGGUGAAAUGACGUAGAGAUGUGGAGGAACACCAGUGGCGAAGGCGACUUUCUGGGCUGUAACUGACGCUGAGGCGCGAAAGC